rnacentral:lncRNA from 1 species
CUCUGGGUGUGCCUGAAGCCUGAGGGUCUUGCCAGGAGGGGAAAAGGGACAGGGCAUUCACUGGAAGUUUGGAGGAAGAUUUUUUUAAAGAGGAAAAUUAGGUGCUGUUGGGCACCAAUUCUCACCAAACUCUACAUGUGAUUUUAGAUGGGGUCUGGGCCUGCUUGCCAGUAGGGGGAAGAAGAGUCGCAGUGUUCGUACCCAAGAAAAUACAUAGGAACAUAAAAAAAUAAACACCCCCGGAAAAUCCAUGUACAUAUGGAGUACUGCACCCAACCUUUCAGACUUCAAAGAAGCACAUCCCACCUCACCCUCAUCUUUGAAGCAGACAGAAAUGUUGGUUGGCCAUGAAGUCUACUGCAAGAGGGUCUGGGGAGCAUGCAGAAGAUGAGAUUGCCAAAUGGAGUUACGUUAUCCUCCAAAAAUGCGCUUCACUGGGGAGCAAGACCUUCCACAAAUGCAAACGUGUAAAUGGCACCUGUGGCAUUAUCAACUCAUCAGCAAACUUGUCUGGUUUUGAAUAUCAGCAAGGCUAUUAUGUGCAAUUGUAAUGGAAGAUUAUUUAGACCACUUGAUUUUACCUUGAAAAGAAAGGGUUCCUAGUUCAUGACCACAGUGAAUGCUAUGAUAUUUUCCAGGAACUAGACUACUGGCAGCAG